rnacentral:rRNA from 1 species
UACGUAGGGUGCAAGCGUUAAUCGGAAUUACUGGGCGUAAAGCGUGCGCAGGCGGUUAUGCAAGACAGAUGUGAAAUCCCCGGGCUUAACCUGGGAACUGCAUUUGUGACUGCAUAGCUGGAGUACGGCAGAGGGGGAUGGAAUUCCGCGUGUAGCAGUGAAAUGCGUAGAUAUGCGGAGGAACACCGAUGGCGAAGGCAAUCCCCUGGGCCUGCACUGACGCUCAUGCACGAAAGCGUGGGGAGCAAACAGG